UUACUUUGUCACGUGAGACACAUUUCCACGAAAAAGAUCUUGAACUAUUGUUCUUGCCUUUGCAAUUUUGGAAUGGCUCAGGCAACGCUCCAGCAAUGGAA